GUGUGUCUGUCAGACCGGGAAGGCCCUCGGCCCGGACCCUGGCAUCAGCUAGAGGGAUCCACCGCUCAGUCCGGUCGCGGGACUGAACGGGACAACCCACAGCGACUGGGAUCGUCAUCUCGGCUUGUUCGCGUGACCGGGAGAUCCAAGAAGAGACCUAGCGAACUGCGCACGGAGAAGUCUUGAGGGAAUGCCGUAGGACCCGGGUUCGAUUCCCGGCAGCUCCACUG
rnacentral:tmRNA from 1 species